GAUGAAGAACGUAGCGAAAUGCGAUAAGUAAUGUGAAUUGCAGAAUUCAGUGAAUCAUCGAGUCUUUGAACGCACAUUGCGCCCCCUGGUAUUCCGGGGGGCAUGCCUGUCCGAGCGUCAUUGCUGCCCUCAAGCACGGCUUGUGUGUUGGGCCUCCGUCCUCCUCCCGGGGGACGGGCCCGAAAGGCAGCGGCGGUACCGCGUCCGGUCCUCGAGCGUAUGGGGCUUCGUCACCCGCUCUUGUAGGCCCGGCCGGCGCUUGCCGACACAUCAAUCUUUUUUCCAGGUUGACCUCGGAUCAGGUAGGGAUACCCGCUGAACUUAAGCAUAUCAAUAAGCGGAGGA
rnacentral:misc_RNA from 1 species